rnacentral:snoRNA from 1 species
UGCACUGCACAGUUCUGCAUUUAGCAGUUAAUUCCUGCUAAGGCAUGCAAAGGUCAGUGCCACAGAAAUUCAGUAUCUGGCAUCUUUGGUUUUCUCGGCUUUGUGCAUAUUUAACCUUGUAUUUGUAUUGAUAGAGUA